AUGAUUCAUGCUAGUGCGACUUCCUCAUGUGAUGAUUUCUUGCCCAUUUAUGAUGAGUAUGAUGAUUCUCAUGUGGAGUCUAUUAGUUGUGAUGCCAUGUUACAUAGGAUUUCUUGUCACAAUUCCCUUGGUCACAUCAUGUUUGAUAAUUCGCUUGACUUGUCAUAUGCUAUGCAUGAAAUCAACCAUAUGUCUUAUUUGCAAUCUCUUCAUAGUGACUAUGCAUAUGCCAUUAAAAUAAACCCAAUUUGCACAUAUGGCAUAGAUGACAAGCCCAUGGUUAUUGGCAUUUGUUUUUCUUGUGAUUAUAUUGAUAUGCUCCCUUUGCAUCAUUUAUCUCAUAUGCCAUGCCAUGCCCACCUAGCUUCGGAUAUGCAUUGUUUUGGAUGUUGUCCAUUUUCUCCAUAUGAUGUUACCAAUUAUGUUCAUGAGGAGACCUCCAUAGUUUCCUCAUACAUGUUAGGAGAUUUUUAUCCAUCCCAUCCAUUGCAUGAUCCCAAUAAUUAUGUGCACCAUAUGUUUCCCAUGAAUGAAAAUGCUAUUGAUGUGCCAUAUAAUUGUAUGCUCAAUUUGCAUCCCCAUCGUGUUAUACAUAACAACUAUUCUUUCAUGAGGGAUGACAUGUUCUUAUACCAUGCAUCAAAUUUCUUUGAGCGAUGCUUAUCUUGUGCUAAUUCACACGUGCACAUACACAUCAUGAUGGAUGAUGUGUACAUUUACCACGCGCACAAUUUCUUUGGUUUGUGUCUCUUUUGUGUAGGUACCCAUGAAUACUUGUCAACCUCGCAAUCCCACGAGUUGACAAAACGAGCUCUAGAGAGCAAUGAGGACUUGGGAUCCCAUGGAUUAUUUUUCCCAUUGCUCUCUUAG
rnacentral:rRNA from 1 species